UUUAAACUGGUUUGGGAAAACCAAAUAUAUUAUAUAUUUUGCUUUGUUCAAAAUAAGGUUUUCUAAUAAAUUAUGUUUUUAUCAGAUAUGACAGAAUCUUUUUUAAAAUCUCUUCAAUAUGCUUUUAUUGCUUUUGAGAGGUUUUGUUACUUUGAGUAAAAUUAAGUGUUCAUAACAGACGGGUAGUCAUGAUUGAGUUC
rnacentral:rRNA from 1 species